rnacentral:rRNA from 1 species
UACAUGUGGGGCAAGCGUUGUUCGGAAUCACUGGGCAUAAAGGGUGCGUAGGCGGCUUGUUAAGUCAGGGGUGAAAUCCCACGGCCCAACCGUGGAACUGCCUUUGAAACUGGCGAGCUUGAGUGCGUGAGGGGUAACCGGAACGAGUCGUGUAGCGGUGAAAUGCGUAGAUAUGACUCGGAAGGCCAAAGGCGAAGGCAGGUUACUGGUACGCAACUGACGCUGAGGCACGAAAGCGUGGGGAGCAAACAGG